GGUUUGACGUAAAUUUAACUUUUUUAAAAUUAAUUUUUUUGAAUUUAGUUUUUAAGUUAAAAAACUUAAAGUUUUAAAAGUGACGAUAAGACCCUAUAGAAUUUAAAAAAUUUAAUGGUAAAAAGAAAGUUUUUUUGUUGGGGUGACAUAAAAUAAUAACUUUUUAUAAUUAAAUCUUUUUAUUAGUUUUUAAGAUCUUAAAGUUUAGAUAGAAAGAAUAAAUUACCUUAGGGAUAACAGCAUAAUUUUUUUUUUAAGAUCUAAUUUAUAAAAAAGAUUAUGACCUCGAUGUUGAAUUAAGAUAAUAUUUUGGUGCAAAAUUUAAAAUAUUUAGUCUGUUCGACUUAAAAUUUUACAUGAUUUGAGUUCAAACCGGUGUGAGCCAGGUUGGUUUCUAUCUUUUUUAAAUUA
rnacentral:rRNA from 1 species